GUGAGAUUAGAAGGAGGUGCUCCAGCUAUGGCGUUCAACUCCCAUCCUCCUGCCCAGGACCUCCAUGGGCACUGGGAGCAGCCAGUGCUCCUGAAACUCCAACCUGCUCCUGACUGGGAGAGGGCAAUCCUGAACCCCAAACUCCCACCCUGUAUCCAACAGCUGUGGGGAAAUAUUUAUGGACACAGGGCCUUCCUUUAACGCAGGAGGUCUCAGGUCAUGGCAAAAUCAGGGUUAGAGGGGUUUGGAGGAGCGGAGGCAGGUAGGUCUUUGGAGUCUCAGAGGGGACUCAGGACUUAGGGCUUCUCCCUGCCCUGGGAGAUGGCAUUUGGGAGGAUGACCAUAGCUGUCCUUGGCCUGGGUGCCUGGUCCUGGCAGCAGGAGCUUGGGGCUGAUGUGUGUCGGGGAAGAUGAGGGGAGUGAAGGGGACAGCUGAUGCAGUGGGCUGACUUCCUCCUUUGUCAGUACCCCAGCAGUUUCCUCCUGGGGUAGUCUGUGUCUCCCCCAACCCUCAGACUCAGGGCUGGGCGGAGUCCUGCCCUCCUCAGAC
rnacentral:lncRNA from 1 species